UACGAAGGGGGGCUAGCGUUGCUCGGAAUGACUGGGCGUAAAGGGCGCGUAGGCGGCGCAGUUAGUCAGGCGUGAAAUUCCUGGGCUCAACCUGGGGACUGCGCUUGAUACGGCUGUGCUUGAGGAUGGAAGAGGCUCGCGGAAAUUCCCAGUGUAGAGGUGAAAUUCGUAGAUAUUCGGAAGAACACCAGUGGCGAAGGCGAACUUACUGGACACAUAAUUGACGCUGAGGUGCGAAAAGCGUGGGGAGCAAACAGGA
rnacentral:rRNA from 1 species